rnacentral:rRNA from 1 species
AUGCGGCCGUGGCCUCCGUCGCCCAGCCGCCGGGGACGUGUACGCACGCGGGCGUGGCCGCUGUCAGGGACAUUGGCGCACACGGUAGAGAAAAGCUCCACCGCAACCUCUGUCGUAAGAAUAAGAUUAUUUCUCCUAUCUCUAAUCUACUUGCAAUCUGACAUCCAUUGCCAAUUUGGCUUUCUGGAAAUUCGGUGGCACAUGAAUUCUAAUUCUAAUUUGAACAUGGAGCACUAUUUUUUUUCUUGUGAUAACCACCAAGCACGAACAUGCAGUGCAUGUAUAGCUCUUGCCGAGUGA